rfam:Oryza sativa Japonica Group DNA, chromosome 2, cultivar: Nipponbare, complete sequence.
UCUCCGUCCCAUUCGUGGGUUUCUGUGCCCAACGUUUGAUCGUCCGUUUUAUUGAAAUUUUUUAUGAUUAGUAUUUUUAUUGUUAUUAGAUGAUAAAAUAUAAACAAUAUUUUAUGCGCGACUUAUUUUUUAUAAAUUUUUUAAAUAACACAGAUUGUCAAACGUUGGAUAUCUAAACUCACAAUUACACUUAAA